UUAAGUGACUAAGCGUACACGGUGGAUGCCUUGGCAGUCAGAGGCGAUGAAGGACGUAUUAACUUGCGAUAAGCGUAGAUAAGGUAGUAAAAACCACUUGAGUCUACGAUUUCCGAAUGGGGAAACCCAGCUGCAGCAGCAGUUAUCAUCAGGUGAAUACAUAGCCUGAUGAGGCGAACCGGGAGAACUGAAACAUCUAAGUACCCCGAGGAAAAGAAAUCAACCGAGAUUCCGAGAGUAGCGGCGAGCGAAAUCGGAGUAGCCCUUAAGCUUUUGCAGCGUUAGGUGAAGUGUCUGGAAAGGCACGCAAUAGAGGGUGAUAGCCCCGUAACCGAAGGCGCUGUUUAGGUGAAAACGAGUAAGGCGGGACACGUGAUAUCCUGUCUGAACAUGGGGGACCAUCCUCCAAGGCUAAAUACUCCUGACUGACCGAUAGUGAACCAGUACCGUGAGGGAAAGGCGAAAAGAACCCCUGUGAGGGGAGUGAAAUAGAACCUGAAACCGUGUACGUACAAGCAGUAGGAGCCUCCUUUGUGGGGUGACUGCGUACCUUUUGUAUAAUGGGUCAGCGACUUAUAUUCAGUGGCGAGGUUAACCGAUUAGGGGAGCCGUAGCGAAAGCGAGUGUUAACUGCGCGUUCAGUCGCUGGAUAUAGACCCGAAACCGGGUGAUCUAGCCAUGGGCAGGUUGAAGGUUGAGUAACAUCAACUGGAGGACCGAACCGACUAAUGUUGAAAAAUUAGCGGAUGACUUGUGGCUAGGGGUGAAAGGCCAAUCAAACCCGGAGAUAGCUGGUUCUCCCCGAAAGCUAUUUAGGUAGCGCCUCGGACGAAUACUACUGGGGGUAGAGCACUGUUAAGGCUAGGGGGUCAUCCCGACUUACCAACCCUUUGCAAACUCCGAAUACCAGUAAGUACUAUCCGGGAGACACACGGCGGGUGCUAACGUCCGUCGUGGAGAGGGAAACAACCCAGACCGCCAGCUAAGGUCCCAAAUUACAGCUAAGUGGGAAACGAUGUGGGAAGGCUCAGACAGCUAGGAUGUUGGCUUAGAAGCAGCCAUCAUUUAAAGAAAGCGUAAUAGCUCACUAGUCGAGUCGGCCUGCGCGGAAGAUGUAACGGGGCUAAGCUGUAAACCGAAGCUGCGGCAAUGCUCGUGAGAGUAUUGGGUAGGGGAGCGUUCUGUAAGCCGUUGAAGGUGGAUUGUAAAGUCUGCUGGAGGUAUCAGAAGUGCGAAUGCUGACAUGAGUAACGAUAAAGGGAGUGAAAAACUCCCUCGCCGGAAGACCAAGGGUUCCUGUCCAACGUUAAUCGGGGCAGGGUAAGUCGACCCCUAAGGCGAGGCCGAAAGGCGUAGUCGAUGGGAAACGGGUUAAUAUUCCCGUACUUGUUGUGAAUGCGAUGGGGGGACGGAGAAGGCUAGGUGGGCCUGGCGACGGUCGUCCAGGUUCAAGUGCGUAGGCUGCAGAGUUAGGUAAAUCCGGCUCUGCGUUAGGCUGAGACACGAUGUCGAGCAUCUACGGAUGUGAAGUCAUUGAUGCCAUGCUUCCGGGAAAAGCCUCUAAGCUUCAGUUCACAAGAAAUCGUACCCCAAACCGACACAGGUGGUCGGGUAGAGAAUACCAAGGCGCUUGAGAGAACUCGGGUGAAGGAACUAGGCAAAAUGGUACCGUAACUUCGGGAGAAGGUACGCUCUUGACGGUGAAGUCCCUCGCGGAUGGAGCUGUUGGGAGUCGCAGAUACCAGGUGGCUGCAACUGUUUAUUAAAAACACAGCACUGUGCAAAAUCGUAAGAUGACGUAUACGGUGUGACGCCUGCCCGGUGCCGGAAGGUUAAUUGAUGGGGUUAGACUUCGGUCGAAGCUCUUGAUCGAAGCCCCGGUAAACGGCGGCCGUAACUAUAACGGUCCUAAGGUAGCGAAAUUCCUUGUCGGGUAAGUUCCGACCUGCACGAAUGGCGUAAUGAUGGCCACGCUGUCUCCACCCGAGACUCAGUGAAAUUGAAAUCGCUGUGAAGAUGCAGUGUACCCGCGGCUAGACGGAAAGACCCCGUGAACCUUUACUACAGCUUGGCACUGAACAUUGAACCUACAUGUGUAGGAUAGGUGGGAGGCUUUGAAGCGCAGUCGCUAGAUUGUGUGGAGCCAUCCUUGAAAUACCACCCUUGUAGUUUUGAUGUUCUAACUUUGGCCCGUUAUCCGGGUCGAGGACAGUGCCUGGUGGGUAGUUUGACUGGGGCGGUCUCCUCCCAAAGAGUAACGGAGGAGCACGAAGGUGGGCUAAACACGGUUGGACAUCGUGUGGUUAGUGCAAUGGCAUAAGCCCGCUUAACUGCGAGAAUGACAAUUCGAGCAGGUGCGAAAGCAGGUCAUAGUGAUCCGGUGGUUCUGAAUGGAAGGGCCAUCGCUCAACGGAUAAAAGGUACUCCGGGGAUAACAGGCUGAUACCGCCCAAGAGUUCAUAUCGACGGCGGUGUUUGGCACCUCGAUGUCGGCUCAUCACAUCCUGGGGCUGAAGUCGGUCCCAAGGGUAUGGCUGUUCGCCAUUUAAAGUGGUACGCGAGCUGGGUUUAGAACGUCGUGAGACAGUUCGGUCCCUAUCUGCCGUGGGCGUUGGAGAAUUGAAAGGGGCUGCUCCUAGUACGAGAGGACCGGAGUGGACGAACCACUGGUGUUCGGGUUGUGAUGCCAAUCGCAUUGCCCGGUAGCUAAGUUCGGGAUCGAUAACCGCUGAAAGCAUCUAAGCGGGAAGCGAGCCUUGAGAUGAGUUCUCCCUGGCGCUUAAAGCGUCCUGAAGGGUUGUUCGAGACUAGAACGUUGAUAGGCAGGGUGUGUAAGCGCUGUGAGGCGUUGAGCUAACCUGUACUAAUUGCCCGUGAGACUUAACCAU
rnacentral:rRNA from 1 species